GACGAACGCUGGCGGCGUGCUUAACACAUGCAAGUCGAACGGAAAGGCCCCUUUGGGGGUACUCGAGUGGCGAACGGGUGAGUAACACGUGAGUAACCUGCCCUUGACUUCGGGAUAACUUCAGGAAACUGGGGCUAAUACCGGAUAGGAAUCCUUGCUGCAUGGUGGGGGUUGGAAAGCUUCGGCGGUUUUGGAUGGACUCGCGGCUUAUCAGCUUGUUGGUGGGGUAGUGGCUUACCAAGGCUUUGACGGGUAGCCGGCCUGGGAGGGCGACCGGCCACAUUGGGACUGAGAUACGGCCCAGACUCCUACGGGAGGCAGCAGUGGGGAAUAUUGCACAAGGGGCGGAAGCCUGAUGCAGCAACGCCGCGUGCGGGAUGACGGCCUUCGGGUUGUAAACCGCUUUCAGCAGGGGCGAAGCUUGUGGUGACGGUACCUGCAGAAGAAGCACCGGCUAACUACGUG
rnacentral:rRNA from 1 species